GACGAACGCUGGCGGCGUGCUUAACACAUGCAAGUCGAACGGAAAGGCCCUGCUUUUGUGGGGUGCUCGAGUGGCGAACGGGUGAGUAACACGUGAGUAACCUGCCCUUGACUUUGGGAUAACUUCAGGAAACUGGGGCUAAUACCGGAUAGGAGCUCCUGCUGCAUGGUGGGGGUUGGAAAGUUUCGGCGGUUGGGGAUGGACUCGCGGCUUAUCAGCUUGUUGGUGGGGUAGUGGCUUACCAAGGCGUUGACGGGUAGCCGGACUGAGAGGGUGACCGGCCACAUUGGGACUGAGAUACGGCCCAGACUCCUACGGGAGGCAGCAGUGGGGAAUAUUGCACAAUGGGCGGAAGCCUGAUGCAGCAACGCCGCGUGCGGGAUGACGGCCUUCGGGUUGUAAACCGCUUUCGCCUGUGACGAAGCGUGAGUGACGGUAAUGGGUAAAGAAGCACCGGCUAACUACGUG
rnacentral:rRNA from 1 species